rnacentral:lncRNA from 1 species
GGUUUGAGAAUUUUGAAACACUCACAAUACAGCUUCGGUAGCAUCAGUGAUAUUCUCCCUUUAUCACCCAGGCUGGAAUACAGUGGCACCAUCUCAGCUUACUGCAACCUCUGCCUCCUGGAUUCAAGCGACUCUCGUGCCUCAGUCUCCCGAGUAGCUGGGAUUACAGGACCCUUGUGAUUACAUCAGAGAUACCCAGAUAAUCCAGGAUAAUCACUCCAUCUCUAGAUAUUUAAUCACAAAGUCCAUUUUAACAUGAAAGGCACGGUGGCUCACGCCUGUAAUCCCAACACUUUGGGAGGCUGAGGCGGGCGGAUCACUUGAAAUCAGGAGUUCAAGACUAGCCUGGCCAUCUCUACUAAAAAGACAAAAAUUAGCCAGGCGUGGUGGUGUACAUCUGUAAUCCCAGCUACUCAGAAGGCCAAAGCACGAGAAUUGCUUGAACCCGGGAGGCGGAGGUUGCAGUGAGCCAAGAUCGUGCUCCGGCCUGGGCAACAGAGGGAGACUCCAUCUCAAAAAAAAAAAAAAGAAAAAAAAAAGCAGUUGUUAUAUUUUUCAUCAACAUGAAUUUGCAGAAAACAAAAGCCUGUUUCACUUCCAAAUGUUCUUGAUAAAACAGAGGAAAGGCUGGACCCUGUAUUUGUGUUGUGUACCCUCACUCUAGGAGGUGUCUUCACACUAAGAGAUGGCCACUCAGCUUCUGGCAUUAUCACUCUGCAUCUACUUUGCCAAGCUUCUUCUUUUGAAACGUCUUGUGUAGGCAGUAGUUAUGAAUAUGCCACCCAGAAGAAUACCAGAUGAAUAAACUUACAAAUAUUUUGAAUAAAGCUCAAUCUAACAAUAGAUAUUUGAAUGAAAAUACUGGAAUCUCUUGUAAUAGCUCAGAAGGUAGCUUAAGUUUUAGCACAGGUGGUAGGAUCACAACACCUUGACCAGGACAGUCCACCUCUGAGCCUCGUCUACUAUGUGGUUUCUGAGUUCUGAAGCUCAGAAUGUUACAUAUAUGGGAAGUAGAAUAUAAUAAUCUAUGUAAUUUCUCUGGAUUCCAUUCCCAGUUAUCACAUGCCCCAAGAUUCCCAAUAAAUCAGAAAACCUCACAUUUGCAUUUUAGUAUUUCCAAAGGUUUUUUAUUUUUAUUUAGAGACUGGGUUUCACUGUUGCCUAGGCCAGAGUGCAGGGGCUAUUCACAGGUGCGAUCAUAGCACCCCACAGCCUUGAAUACCUGGGCUCAAGCAAUCCUCUUGCCUCAGCCUCCCAAGCAGCUGGGACUACAGGCACCCAGCUUCCAAGGCUGUUUUUAUUUUUAUUUUUUAAAGUUAUGUAUAGAUAGGAAAUCAAACACUUAGGAGUGAGCCCUCUCAACUCUUACUCCUCUCACAUUUCCCUCUCAGUCUAUACAUAAUCAGAAACCUGGGAGACCCUUGAUGUUGUCAAGUAAACAUUUCAGGUGUGAUAAAAAAGGAUAUAGGCGCCUAAAUUUUAAACUUACUAGCAUAAUCACGUUAUCAACAUAAAUUAACUACUGAAAGUUAAUUUGCUUAAACAUGGCUGAUCACAGUUUUUACCCCAUCAGUCAAUCUCAAUAACUUCUCUUACUUCAAGUGAAGAUAGUACUAUCUAUUAUAAGAAUAAUUCUAAAGCUGCACUCAUGAACAGUCAUGU